UGAAAUCUGGGCUGGGCUGCUUAUUUUAGGCUGAGUGAGGGAUCGAAAGAAGCAGCCGACCGAUCGAGAACGAGCGGCAUCUGGCGUGCGCUGGGCUGCCUCUGACUUGCUAUAAGCAAGUUAGAGAAUCUGCGCCGCCCAUCGACGGCGUCGCCCGACCCUUCCUCUCCCCGCCAGGGCGUUGCCCUGCCAUCUCUCCUCCACGCCACAGCUCCGCCCGCACGAUCCUCUCCCCACGACGGCGUUGCCGGCCUCCUUCUCUCCCCGUCAACAUCUCGCGCCGCCGUGUCGACGCCAAUCCCGCGCGCCCGCCGGUCUGGCAUCCUGGGCAGCCAGAACCAGAUGGUAGUUGCAGAAGGGCUCACGGCUCUCCGUACAUGCCGGCCACGUGGCUGUACCAUCUGGAUGUGGGUGGGAAGACCACGGCGCCCUUGUCGUCGAGCCCUGUCUUCUACCCCACUCAAACUGCGCUGAGCACAGUCGCGCUGCUGCCUCGUCGAUCUCCAUGACAGGCCACCCCAGGCCGAUAGGGCAUUACUCAACUGAGCUGAUGAAGUAAGAGGAAUCCAGAGGUGUGGGAUUUGCACUGUGUAUCAUUUUAAGCAUGGUUGGCCGCAUCGUUGGCUCCUCUUGAAAGCACAUGUACUACUUGCACCAAGAGCAAGAAUUUAACAGUAGAAAAGCCGUAUCAACUAUAUGUAUGCCCCAAUGCGAUCAACAACAAAAAAUUAUGCUCGCAAUUACCUAGCGCGGGCACUGUGUCAUUUGGGAAGGAUGCUCAAGAUUAGGAAUGUCACCAAGAGGGGCUCGGCUAGAGUUAUCACCAAGAGGGGAUCAGCACAGAUUUGUCGCCUCCAUAUCUUCAAGCGUCAUGGUCUGUCGGCGCUUGUAACGAAAUAAAAUAAACCAUUAUUAUUUCUGUGAACUAUACACAUUAAAUAUAUACUGGGACAAAAUCCAACUUUGAAGCAUGCGAUCAGGUUUUUAACCAGGUAUAUUUGUCUUGAAUGGAAGGACAAACACAAAGAACCAUUACAUCAAGAAGCUAUCAGGCUUGAGGGUCUCACAUAUUUUCACGACGCUUUCUGAAGUUAUGAGCCACAGCUAUUUCCUAGUCUGAUUUCUCCUGGGUGUACUCUGCUUUCUGGUGUCUGAUUUGGUGACAAGAAUAUUGUGUCAACGGUCAGCGCCUGGAUUGUAAAUUGGACUUGAAAGCAAAUAGCUCUCUAGGCACGUAAUGCAGAUUAUAACCCCAAGGUAAAAUCAUUAUCCUAAUGCAUUCUUCAUGAUGUUGGCUUUUCCCCCUCACUGGGCCUGUGAUGCUAUAUUUCCAAAAACAUCUAAAUUUUAUCACUUUGGUAGCAUCCACAUGGCUUUGUGAAUCCUGCUGUGUAGAUGGUGGAUAGCCUGGUAAAAGAGUAGAGACUUUGUACAUGGGUUCUUUUGUGUAUGUACCCUUCUGAAUUUGUGCUCAUUCGCUGAGAAAUUAGAGAACAACAGCUUACUAAACAGUUUUUGAUC